rnacentral:rRNA from 1 species
AGAGUUUGAUCCUGGCUCAGGAUGAACGCUAGCUACAGGCUUAACACAUGCAAGUCGAGGGGCAGCAUGAACUUAGCUUGCUAAGUUUGAUGGCGACCGGCGCACGGGUGAGUAACACGUAUCCAACCUGCCGAUGACUCGGGGAUAGCCUUUCGAAAGAAAGAUUAAUACCCGAUGGCAUAGUUCUUCCGCAUGGUAGAACUAUUAAAGAAUUUCGGUCAUCGAUGGGGAUGCGUUCCAUUAGGUUGUUGGCGGGGUAACGGCCCACCAAGCCUUCGAUGGAUAGGGGUUCUGAGAGGAAGGUCCCCCACAUUGGAACUGAGACACGGUCCAAACUCCUACGGGAGGCAGCAGUGAGGAAUAUUGGUCAAUGGGCGAGAGCCUGAACCAGCCAAGUAGCGUGAAGGAUGACUGCCCUAUGGGUUGUAAACUUCUUUUAUAAAGGAAUAAAGUCGGGUAUGGAUACCCGUUUGCAUGUACUUUAUGAAUAAGGAUCGGCUAACUCCGUGCCAGCAGCCGCGGUAAUACGGAGGAUCCGAGCGUUAUCCGGAUUUAUUGGGUUUAAAGGGAGCGUAGGCGGAUUGUUAAGUCAGUUGUGAAAGUUUGCGGCUCAACCGUAAAAUUGCAGUUGAUACUGGCGACCUUGAGUGCAACAGAGGUAGGCGGAAUUCGUGGUGUAGCGGUGAAAUGCUUAGAUAUCACGAAGAACUCCGAUUGCGAAGGCAGCUUACUGGAUUGUAACUGACGCUGAUGCUCGAAAGUGUGGGUAUCAAACAGGAUUAGAUACCCUGGUAGUCCACACAGUAAACGAUGAAUACUCGCUGUUUGCGAUAUACAGUAAGCGGCCAAGCGAAAGCGUUAAGUAUUCCACCUGGGGAGUACGCCGGCAACGGUGAAACUCAAAGGAAUUGACGGGGGCCCGCACAAGCGGAGGAACAUGUGGUUUAA